GUGGGGAGUGAGGCGGGAAAGGCUGCGCAGGCGCACUGCCGGCGUUCGCAGUCCGCAUGCGCUGUGGCGCCUGGGGCCGGCAUGGCUGGGGCGGCGUGAGGGGAGCGCCUUCCCUGGGGCUCUUCCCUGCCUUCAGUCGCCUUUCCUGGGACUCUUCCCUACCUUUAGACGGCUCAGAGCCGGUGCUCUUCGAGCAGCACAGCUCUUGAGAAGGCUGUGGACAAUUCAGAAGUAACUCAAGAAGAAAUUGUGCUUCCCCGAAGGAAAAC